rnacentral:lncRNA from 1 species
UAUGAAGACUGGGUCAGCUUUGAUUUGAGAUCCUUCGAUGAGGAACUUUAUGAAUCCAGAAAGAGCCAACGUUUGAAUGAUUACUGCAAUCUCACAUCUAUUAAAUCCUGAUACCUGCAACCAAGAGAUGAGUAGGAGAUGUGGAUCCUAAGAGGUGACCUGUAACAUACUGCCCCUCAAACCACAUCUUUGGAUUUCAAUAGAAAGAACAGAGAGAGGCCGGUCGCGGUGGCUCAUGCCUGUAAUCCCAGCACUUUGGGAGGCCGAGGCGGGCGGAUCACGAGGUCAAGAGAUCGAGACCAUCCUGGCUAACACAGUGAAACCCCAUCUCUACUAAAAAAAAAAUACAAAAAAAAAAAAAAAAGAACAGAGAGAAUUAAACCAGCUAGGGCCACACGCGGUGGCUCAUGUCUAUAAUCCCAGCACUUUGGGAGGCCAAGGUGGGCAGAUCACAAGGUCAGGAGUUCGAGACCAGCCUGGCCAAUAUGGUGAAACCCCAUCUCUACUAAAAAUAGAAAAAUUAGCUGGGCAUGGCGGUGGGCACCUGUAGUCCCACCUACUCAGGAGGCUGAGGCAGAAGAAUCGCUUGAACUGGGGAGGCGGAGGCUGCAGUGAGCCGAGAUCGCGCCACUGCACUCCAGCCUCGGCGACAGAGCGAGACUCUGUCUCAAAACAAAACAAAAGAAAAAACAGCUAAACUAUGGCAAAGAGGCAUUAAUGAAUUUAUUGAUAGCAAACAAAGAAGUAAAGAUAAGAGGUGAAUUCAGCAGACUCCAGAAAGUCAACUUUUGGUUUGGGCAGGAAGGAGUGAACCAGUAAGAAACAGAGCUUGAGGUCCUCCGUGAUUACAGUCCCAAGAAGAAACUUCCACAAGUCUAGAAUACUCUAGAGCUCUCACUGGCAUGAAACGAACUGCUAAGAUUACAGUCCAUAAUUUGUGAUCCUUGCUUUAAGAAUUCUGGGAUCCAGGGCAGGUGCGGUGGCUCAUGCCUGUAAUCCCCAGCACUUUGGGAGGCCAAGACGGGUGGAUUACCUGAGGUCAGGAGUUCAGGACCAGACUGGCCAACGUGGUGAAACCCCAUCUCUACUAAAAAAAAAUACAAAAAAUUAGCCGGGCGUGGUGGUGGGUGCCUGUAAUCCCAGCUACUCGAUAGGCUGAGACAGAAUUGCUUGAACCUGGGAGGUGGAGGUUGCAAUGAGCUUAGAUCACAUCAUUGCACUCCAACCUGGGCAAUAAGAGUGAAACUCUGUCUCAAAAAAAAAAAAAAAAAAAAAAAGAAUUCUGGGAUCCAAUCAGGCACAUUGGCUCACGCCUGUAAUCCAAGCACUUUGGGAGGCCAAGGUGGGAGGAUCACAUUAGGUCAGGAGUUUGAGACCAGCCUGGCCAACAUGGCAAAACCCCAUCUCUACGAAAAAUACAAAAUUAGCCGGGCAUGGUGGCAUGUGCUUGUAAUCCCAGCUACUCGAGAGGCUGAGGCAGGAGAAUCACCUGGGUCCAGAAGGCGGAGGUUGCAGUGAGCCGAGAUCAUGCCACUCCACUCCAGCCUGGGCGACACAGCGAGCCUCUGUCUCAAAAAAAAAAAAAGAAUUCUGGGAUCCAUUUGUCAUCCUUUCCAGAAGACUUCCUCCAGUACUAAGAAAGUCCACAAGCCCCUUGACCAGUUUCACUGACGUCAAGAAUCAGAUCCUGCUAGGGUAGAAAAGGUACGGAAUGAGCUCAGACUGUGGCAAGGUCAUGAGGGUUGUGAUGAAACAAGAAUGAAACAACCUCUCCCCACAACAUAUUCUAGAAAGCAGAGAUGUCAGAAUAAAGGAAUCCUCCAGAGGCCUGGCGGCUGAGUGGAGGCAUUUUAUUUAAAAGCUUCAAACUACCCACACCUUUUGAUUACCAUCUGGCUUUUUCUAUUUUUCUUUUGUUUUCUUUUUUUUUUUUUUCCUGGACAGAAUUGACUGGGGUCUGACUUUUUCUUAAAUGUAAAUUCCAAUAUAAUUUUACAGCUGGUAUUUCCAGAAUUAGAUCCAGAAAUCAACACUAGCACUACUCUCUGAAAGUGUUUCAGAAUGCAACUCUUAACUGCUGAAGAGAAUCAAGUAGUAACCUGGAGCAGGCCAAAUGAGUUACAGACAUUACAGAGAAAGAUCGAUCACUUUGGCAGAGCCUCUCUGUGAGCUUUAGCUAGUUUUCCUAACGCCAGCUGGUAUGCUACGUUAGCUACCCAAGGCAGGGGGACUAUGGUAUCACAGUGACCACAGAACUAAGCUUUUCCAACUCUCCUGGGGCACCUGCACAAGUGCUAGCAUUUCCCAGACUACCUCUAAUUAAGGAACAAACCUUUUUCCCUACUGGAAAAUUCAAAAGUGCUUUCAUCUCUGCUCCCUGCCCCCGACCAGAAGAGGUUUUAUUAGAGUUCUGAUGUCACACUCUCUGCUUUCCUGGGUGGCAUCUGAAAAAGGACCACCUGUGCCUUCAGGGUAGAUUUGUGCCAGUGAGAAAACCUCAGCUUCAGGAAUUCAUGACCAGCCUGGUCAACCAUGGUGAAACCCCGUCUCUACUAAAAAUACAAAAAUUAGCUGGGCAUGGUGGCACACACCUGUAAUCCCAGCUACUCAGGAGGCUGAGGCAAGAGAAUCGCUUGAACUCGGGAGGUGGAGGGUGCAGUGAGCUGAGAUGGCACCACUGCACUCCAGCCAGGGUCACAGGGCGAGACUCCGUCUCAAAAUAAAUAAAUUAAAUAAAUAAAUAAAUAAAUAAAACAAACAAAAAAAAU